rnacentral:rRNA from 1 species
AUUGAACGCUGGCGGCAGGCCUAACACAUGCAAGUCGAACGGUAACAGGAAGCAGCUUGCUGCUUUGCUGACGAGUGGCGGACGGGUGUGUAAUGUCUGGGAAACUGCCCGAUGGAGGGGGAUAACUACUGGAAACGGUAGCUAAUACCGCAUAACGUCGCAAGACCAAAGAGGGGGACCUUAGGGCCUCUUGCCAUCGGCUGUGCCCAGAUGGGAUUAGCUAGUAGGUGGGGUAACGGCUCACCUAGGCGACGAUCCCUAGCUGGUCUGAGAGGAUGACCAGCCACACUGGAACUGAGGCACGGUCCAGACUCCUACGGGAGGCAGCAGUGGGGAAUAUUGCACAAUGGGCGCAAGCCUGAUGCAGCCAUGCCGCGUGUAUGAAGAAGGCCUUCGGGUUGUAAAGUACUUUCAGCGGGGAGGAAGGGAGUAAAGUUAAUACCUUUGCUCAUUGACGUUACCCGCAGAAGAAGCACCGGCUAACUCCGUG